rnacentral:lncRNA from 1 species
UUAAUUAGUUUUUAUAUGUUAGUUAGAUUUUUCUAGAAAUAUUAGUUAAUUUUUGUUUAUAAUAUUAGUUAAUUUUCUUUUUUUUAUAUAUUAGAUAGAUUUUUUGUAAUAAUAAUAAUAUAUAUUCUGCAUUGGAUUCCCGAAUCCAUAAAAAACAAAAAAAAGAAAAUCUCCCAACGUCUCUCUCCAUUGUCCCUGCUCCACUCCUAACAGACCCUGCUCCACUACCUCUCCUCUCUCUCGUACCAGAAAAGACAAAAAAAGAAAAUAGAUAAAUGGGAACGUUACUCCUCACUCUCGCUACUCAUUCAUUAAAAAGCUGUCUGAAAAGCAAAAACAGAAGAAAAAAACCCACUCCCUCAUUUUUCACUAUUGACUCCGUCUCUCUCGCCUCUCUUACAAUCCACUCAAAAUCGCCCACCCUCUCCUUCAACAACCGCCGCUCACCAAUCCAAACCCUCGCCGCCGUCGUCACUGUACACCCUCCACCUUUUCAAACUCCCAUCGGCCAACCCCUAUUCCUCUUCAUCCGCCGCCGUCCACAUGCCACAAAACCCCUAACGACCCAAAUCCGCCUCGCCACCACAAACCUCCGCCCUUCACCGUCAAACCCUUAAAACCCAGCUCAGCCGUCAAAUCCCUCACCUCCGCCCUCCAUCAAACUUCCGUCAUCUUCCUCGCAUCACCACUCCCAAACCCAUCGUCGAAACCCGGUCGCCACCUCCACCUUCCAUCAAACCCUCUUUUUUAUAUUAACCUUCACUCAACAUCGCUGCCGGCAUCACAACAACACAAUCGGUUUUGUUUUAUGGUUCUAUUGGCUUUGAUUUUUUGCAGGUGCUGACAACAUCGGUUCAAAGACAUCACUAGCUCGUCAAGUUGUCGACACCAACAAACGAUUCCAAGUUGCUGCUGCUAUGACUUAAUUCUACUACAACUGUUAUUAUUACGGUAAAUCGAAGUUCUGUGUGUUUGAUUUCCGUCUUGUGAACAUUCUGUGGGUUGUAGAUUAAAAGUUAUAAUUAGGAGUCGGUUUUGUUAUACAUGUUAAACACAAGAUCCUCAUAACCGAAACCAGCCCGUAUUUCUUCUUGUUACACUUUUUUUUGCUAUUACUUGAGUCUGUAAUAUAGUGUAUUUUGGUGGUCUGUCUUUGGAUUUGUUAAGGACUACUGAACUUGAUUGUGUGUUAAUUAUUUGAGUUUAUUUUUUAGCUCUGAGUGUUGUUAAUUUUGGUCUGAAAUCAUUAACCAAUGUCAUUACUGCUGGAUUUCAUCUGCAUCUUGUGAGGAAUUGCGUAGAAUUAUGAGGAAAGGUUGUAGUGAAAUUCUCGAGUGUUGUAGCAAUUUCUGUUGAGUUUCUUAAAUUAAUUAGAGUAGCAUGAUAAAACUGAGUUUUAAGUGAUAUGUUUUGAGUCGUAUUGUAUUCAUCUAAUGUGCCUUCCAAUUUCGAUGGCCACCUUGUUUCUGUUUUUAAUCUUUAACUGAUUAUUUUGUUUUGAGUUGACUCAAUGGGUAGUGUAAUAUAAUUGCAAAGACCUAUUUUCUAAAGUGUUUGUUUUAAGUUGGGUUAAGAGAAUUAUUGGUUUUUGGUUUAGAAGAUAAGUGAAUUCAAAGCCCAUUUUUUUUUUUUUUUUAAUUACUACUUAUUUUUAUUUUUUCACUAAUUUUCGUUUCCUUUAUUUCUAUGUAAAAUAUAUGUAAACCGUUAUUACUAUAAACUUAAUUGAUUUUUUUUAAGCUAUUUACUUAAUUAUUGUUUUAAUAUUUUAUUUGUAAACUCAAAAUUAAUCGUGGAUUUUUAUACUCUAUUUGUAAACUUAAAAUUAAUUGUUGAUUUAAUUCGUAAAUAUUGUUUGGGCCAUCAUUUUCAUAUAUGUUUGAUUAAACUCAUUUGUGCAACUUCUAGGGCCGAAUAAAUCAUUUUCUAAGUCAUAUUUUCAUAAUCAC